UAGAGAAGCACUCUUUCUUGGACUGCUUCAUGGCAUUUGGAAGCGGGAAGUUCCAGUGUCCUGCAAGAAAAACAAACAGGAAAGAGCAGCAUGAACCACCAGACUUCUUCAGAAAUUGUAGCUUGCAAAGUGAAGAGUCUCAUUAUAGCAGACAGUCUCACAUUAAACUAUACGAUUUAAAUGGAGGAAUAAGACGGAGGGUUUUCAGUGUGGAGGAAAACUUCUUUGAGUGAGCACCUCUGAGAGUUGAUGAUCUUAGGGAUGUGCUUGCUAUACCUGUCCCCUGGAACACACACCAAAACCAACAAGCUUGAUUUUCCUUGGUUCUAAUUCCUGCAAGAGGAUGCCUGAUUUGCUGUGUCAUUGUGCAAAUUGAUAUGGCUUAAACUCCAGUGUAAAACAACAGCCCUGAUCUUUGGCAAGAUUAAUCUGCUUAUAAAGGCAUGCUUGGAUAAGAAGAGAGUGUAAUAAGAGGAAGGCUGCAAUACUUGAGAAGUUAAAAUGAA
rnacentral:lncRNA from 1 species